UGAGGAAUAUUGGACAAUGGAUGGAAAUCUGAUCCAGCCAUGCCGCGUGCAGGAAGACGGCCCUAUGGGUUGUACACUGCUUUUGUAUGGGAGCAAUAAGGUCUAUGCGUAGACUGAUGAGAGUACCAUACGAAUAAGCAUCGGCUAACUCCGUGCCAGCAGCCGCGGUAAUACGGGGGAUGCAAGCGUUAUCCGGAUGUAUUGGGUUUAAAGGGUGCGUAGGCGGUUUGAUACGUCAGCGGUGAAAUAUUUCAGCUUAACUGAAAGGGUGCCGUUGAUACGGUCAGGCUUGAAUAUGGUGGCUGUGGGUGGAAUGUGUGGUGUAGCGGUGAAAUGCUUAGAUAUCACACAGAAUAUCGAUUGCGAAGGCAGCUCACAAAGCCAUUAUUGACGCUGAUGCACGAAAGUGUGGGGAUCAAACA
rnacentral:rRNA from 1 species